UAGAAAAUUGUAUAAGUAACUCGUAUAAUUUUGGUAAUAUGGUCCAAGAGUUUCUACCAGGCUACCGUAAAUGGCCUGACUACGGGUGUUUAACUAAUAUAG
rfam:[Clostridium] paradoxum JW-YL-7 = DSM 7308 strain JW-YL-7 ctg3, whole genome shotgun sequence.